GUAAUGGUAGGUUAUACUUUGUGUAUAAUGUAUAAAGGGGAGAUAAUCAAUCCAAAUGACUUCAUAGGGGGUGAACAAUAAAGAUUUGUUUUAUACUGUCAGGUUUGAGGUAAUGGUAGGUUAUACUUUGUGUAUGUUGUAUAAAGGGGAGAUAAUCAAUCCAAAUGACUUCAUAGGGGUGAACAAUAAAGAUUUGUUUUAUACUGUCAGGUUUGAGGUAAUGGUAGGUUAUUUACUUUGUGUAUAAUGUAUUAAGGGGAGAUAAUCAAUCCAAAUGACUUCAUAGGGGGUGAACAAUAAAGAUUUGUUUUAUACUGUCAGGUUUGAGGUAAUGGUAGGUUAUAUUUACUUUGUGUAUAAUGUAUUAAGGGGAGAUAAUCAAUCCAAAUGACUUCAUAGGGGGUGAACAAUAAAGAUUUAUUUUAUACUGUCAGGUUUGAGGUAAUGGUAGGUUAUACUUUGUGUA
rnacentral:lncRNA from 1 species